CCCUUAGAUGUUCUGGGCCGCACGCGCGCUACACUGAUGCAUUCAACGAGUCUACAACCUGGUCUGAUAGGGCUGGGUAAUCUUUUGAAUGUGCAUCGUGAUUGGGAUAGAUGAUUGCAAUUCUUCAUCUUCAACGAGGAAUGCCUAGUAAACGCAAGUCAUCAGCUUGCAUUGAUUACGUCCCUGCCCUUUGUACACACCGCCCGUCGCUCCUACCGAUUGAGAGAUUCAGUAAACCUUCUGGAGUGGGUAGGAUCUUCAAGGUUCAAUCUGCGAAGUUAAGUAAACUAUUAUCUCUUAGAGGAAGGAGAAGUCGUAACA
rnacentral:rRNA from 1 species